rnacentral:lncRNA from 1 species
AUCUGGGCCAUUCCUUGCUGCUUUGAAACUGGUGAAAAUUAAGCAAUCUUAUUGGAAUCCUAAAUUAUGGACUGAAAAACAAAGCUGGGCUAAAUUCCAUUGUUUGUCAUCAUCUAAAAAGAACACUGCCUUCUGGUAGUAAGAUCUGGUUUCUAGCCCAAGUUCUAUUGUGAACUCUUUUUGAUCUUUAGUGAGACACAACCUUUGCAGCAUAAUUAUUAUUUUUUAAAAUGGGUAGUUUGGAAGAAGAAAUUUCCAUGGCCCUUUCUAGUUCUAAAAUCCCCUUAUUAAUAUAUCACAAAAAUGAAGUGUAGGAAUUAGAGCAAGUUCAGCUGUGACGAGGGGAGAGUCAAGUGCAGGUUAUAGAUAUCACCUACCACACUGCAUUGCAGUUGACAUGUCAGUAGUGUGUACAUUAGAGUGAAAAGGGUUUCCUUUCUUGGAGACUGACCAGUUGCUUGUUUUUCAAACAAUCAGAAAAAGUUAUAUAUUUUUUAGUAAUUAACAGUUUCUCCCACUUGGCUUAGCCAAAGAUACAUUUAGUUUAGAAUUCUUUUUCUGGAGACUUAAGAGCAAUGAUAAUCAAAGAUCUCUCCGAAGUCCUUGAGUAAAAUUCCUAAGAUGCCAGGCCAUUGAGAAACAUAUCUCUAAGGAUGAGGCUCUCUGCCUUCUUCAAUUCUUAGAAAAGAGUUCAGUCAUAUUCACUCCUUCCUUCCUCCUCCCCUCCUUUUCCCCCUUUCUUCCCCUCUCUCUUUUCCUUCCUUUUACAUCUAUUAUCAGUGAACUUGUUUAGCACUUACAUUAGUAAAUAAGGUGGGUGCUAGCUAGGCCUGAUACUUUACCCAACAAUCCUUCUUAUCAUGUGCAUUAUCUUCCAUUUCCUCUUUUCCAUGCAAGAACUCAUAGCCAUAGAUUAAGUACCACUUGCCCACCAGUGUCUCCCAUAACUGUAUCUCUAGACCUGACUUCAUCCCUAAUUUUCAAACUUAUAUAUCCAACUACCUGCUUAUAGACAGACACAAACACAUAGAUGUUUCUUAGACCCUUCAAAGUCAACAGGGCCAAAACUGAACUCACCAUCUUCCUUCCCCAUUAAUUGGCUUCUCUUCCCAUAUUCCAAACUCAGGAUGGCUUAACAUCACAUAAAACCACACUCCUGAGAAUCAUCCUGGUCUCCUCUUCUUCCCUCACUAUUCCCCACAGGGUCCCAGUUCCCCAUACACGCAAAAUUCUGCUUAUUUAAUUUCUCCAAAUACUCUAGUAUUCUCUUUUUCCUUUUUAUUUCUACAACAAUUAUCUAAUUUAGGCUCUCCUGUCUUUUGCCUGAACUACUAUGAUGCCUCUGGUCUUAAUGUCCCCGAGUGAUCAUCUACAAUGUGAAUUUACUACUAUAGAAUGUAAAAUAUUCCAUUGUCUAACCACCACAGGAGGCAGCCCACAUCCCUUUGCAUUGUAUAUGUCCAGGACUCUUCCUUAGCUUCAACUCCCAUUUCUCCCUGUCAUGAACCUUACAGGGUACCUCUGCUCAUUUCUUUCCUCCACCUUAUUUACCUUUUUUUUAUUUCUGUCAACCUGACGUACUUUCAUCCAGUUUCCAAUACUCAGGCUUUAUCUCCUCUAGAAAGUCCUCUAUGGACCUCCAGACUUGGCAUAUGCCCCACCUCUGUACCUUGUACAUACCUCGAUUUUUUAUCACUUUCUAUGUAUUAUGUCAUGGAUAUAUAUUGUUUGGGUCCUCCAAGGGUUUUGGUGUCCCUUAAGGGUUCACAUAUUGGGAGAUUGGUCCUCAGUGUGGCCAUGUUAAAAGUGGUGAGAACUUUCAGGUGUGGGCCCAGUGGGUUUUGUUACUGGGCCCUUCUCAUGCUCUGGUUUCCUGUCCUGUCAUUGGAGUCCUGACUAAAACUAAGCUGGCACCAUGAACUUAACCUUCAGAAUUUUGGGAUAAAUAGACCUCUUUACUUUUGGGGGUGCUGGGAAUUGAAUCUAGGGCCUCGCAUAUGCUAGGAAAGUGUUCUACCAGAUGAGCUAUAUUCCCAACUCUUAGACC